rnacentral:rRNA from 1 species
CCUACGGGAGGCUGCAGUGGGGAAUAUUGGACAAUGGGGGCAACCCUGAUCCAGCCAUGCCGCGUGUGUGAAGAAGGCCCUCGGGUUGUAAAGCACUUUCAGUGAGGAAGAACGCCUGGUGGUUAAUACCCAUCAGGAAAGACAUCACUCACAGAAGAAGCACCGGCUAACUCCGUGCCAGCAGCCGCGGUAAUACGGAGGGUGCGAGCGUUAAUCGGAAUUACUGGGCGUAAAGCGCGCGUAGGUGGCUUGAUAAGCCGGUUGUGAAAGCCCCGGGCUCAACCUGGGAACGGCAUCCGGAACUGGCAAGCUAGAGUGCAGGAGAGGAAGGUAGAAUUCCCGGUGUAGCGGUGAAAUGCGUAGAGAUCGGGAGGAAUACCAGUGGCGAAGGCGGCCUUCUGGACUGACACUGACACUGAGGUGCGAAAGCGUGGGUAGCAAACAGGAUUAGAUACCCGGGUAGUC